rnacentral:tRNA from 1 species
GCGCCCGUAGCUCAGUGGAUAGAGCGCAGCCCUGCGGAGGCUGAGGCCGAAGGUUCGAAUCCUUCCGGGCGUACCA